rnacentral:lncRNA from 1 species
UUAAACUGAAUCAAUGUUUAUUCAGCUACAUUAACACAUAUCAAUACACUUACAAAUGAAAACAAUGAACUUUAACACCUACAAAAACCAUAACAAGAGCUAUUUAACCAUUAUUCCCUGAGCUUAACAACAUUUUCUAAAUCACUAUUGUUAUUAUUAUUAAAAGGUUACCGAUAAAAGUAAAACAUGAAAAAUCUCAUAAUAAAAAGUAAAACAUAUUUCCCCCAAAAUUAAGUAAAAGCAUUAAAACUGUUGUUGUCAAACCUUGUCCUCCCAGCUAUAUUGGUGUAGGUCUCACACUCUGUUGGUAUUGAUGGAGGGUAAUGGUAUCAGUCUGCAGGUAUUGAUGGCUGGUAUAGGUCUCACUCUCUGCUGGUAUUGAUGGAUGGUAUAGGUCUCACACUCUACUGGUAUUGAUGGAUGGUAUAGGUCUCACUCUCUGCUGGUAUUGAUGGAUGGCAUAGGUCUCACUCUGCUGGUAUUGAUGGCUGGUAUAGGUCUCACUCUGCUGGUAUUGAUGGGUGGUAUAGGUCUCACACUCUGAUGGUAUUGAUGGAUGGUAUAGGUCUCACUCUGCUGGUAUUGAUGGAUGGUAUUGGUCUCACUCCACUGGUAUUGAUGGAUGGUAUAGGUCUCACACUCUGAUGGUAUUGAUGGAUGGUAUAGGUCUCACUCUGCUGGUAUUGAUGGAUGGUAUAGGUCUCACACUCUGAUG